GACGAACGCUGGCGGCGUGCUUAACACAUGCAAGUCGAACGGAGAAUUUAUUUCGGUAAAUUCUUAGUGGCGAACGGGUGAGUAACGCGUGGGCAACCUGCCCUUCAGAUGGGGACAACAUCCCGAAAGGGGUGCUAAUACCGAAUACGAUCGUUUUCCCGCAUGGGAUUACGAUGAAAGAUGGCCUCUAUUUAUAAGCUAUCGCUGAAGGAUGGGCCUGCGUCUGAUUAGCUAGUUGGUGGGGUAACGGCCUACCAAGGCGAUGAUCAGUAGCCGGUCUGAGAGGAUGAACGGCCACAUUGGGACUGAGACACGGCCCAAACUCCUACGGGAGGCAGCAGUGGGGAAUAUUCCGCAAUGGACGAAAGUCUGACGGAGCAACGCCGCGUGAGUGAUGAAGGUUUUCGGACUGUAAAGCUCUGUUGUUUAGGACGAAAGUGCCUGUUGCAAACAGUUGCAGGUAUUGACGGUACUGAACGAGGAAGCCACGGCUAACUACGUGCCAGCAGCCGCGGUAA
rnacentral:rRNA from 1 species